rnacentral:rRNA from 1 species
GUCCACGCCGGUAAACGUUGGGCACUAGGUGUGGGGGAUUAUCAACGUCCUCCGUGCCGUAGCUAACGCAUUAAGUGCCCCGCCUGGGGAGUACGGCCGCAAGGCUAAAACUCAAAGGAAUUGACGGGGGCCCGCACAAGCGGCGGAGCAUGUUGCUUAAUUCGAUGCAACGCGAAGAACCUUACCUGGGUUUGACAUGUGGGGAAAAGCCGCAGAGAUGCGGUGUCCUUCGGGGUCCCACACAGGUGGUGCAUGGCUGUCGU